CUUGUUUGGCCACAAAUUCGGGAUAGUUAUCUUGAAGCAAGUUAAGGGCUUGGUUGGUAGCUUGUCUGAGUUCCUUUUUACCAGGUCCAGGUGAAUUCUUGAGGUCGUUCACUUGAACCAUGGUAUUGAUACCAGUAGGAUUGAAGUCGAGUUUUCGGAUGCUCUUUUCCAGGAACUGAAUCCUCCAUCUCAAGAACUUGGACCGUUUUUCUUCAUCAGCGAAAGUGUUUUGAUACAGCUCUUUGUUUUGGAAUUCUCCAUAGACGUUGUAACAGACGGGAUGA
rnacentral:lncRNA from 1 species